rnacentral:rRNA from 1 species
CGGCGUGCCUAAUACAUGCAAGUCGAGCGAACAGACGAGGAGCUUGCUCCUCUGACGUUAGCGGCGGACGGGUGAGUAACACGUGGAUAACCUACCUAUAAGACUGGGAUAACUUCGGGAAACCGGAGCUAAUACCGGAUAACAUGUUGAACCGCAUGGUUCAACAGUGAAAGACGGUUUUGCUGUCACUUAUAGAUGGAUCCGCGCCGCAUUAGCUAGUUGGUAAGGUAACGGCUUACCAAGGCAACGAUGCGUAGCCGACCUGAGAGGGUGAUCGGCCACACUGGAACUGAGACACGGUCCAGACUCCUACGGGAGGCAGCAGUAGGGAAUCUUCCGCAAUGGGCGAAAGCCUGACGGAGCAACGCCGCGUGAGUGAAGAAGGUCUUCGGAUCGUAAAACUCUGUUAUUAGGGAAGAACAAAUGUGUAAGUAACUAUGCACGUCUUGACGGUACCUAAUCAGAAAGCCACGGCUAACUACGUG